AUGGCGGUGGCGGACAAGGCGGUCGCCGGGGGCGGCGAGGCCCAGCAGCCGGAGCCGGAGCCGGAGCCGGCCGCCGAGGCCUCAACGUUCGCCGAGCUGGGCGUCUGCCGCGAGCUGGUGGAGGCCUGCGACGCCAUGGGGUGGAAGCAGCCCACCAAGAUCCAGGCGGGGGCCAUCCCCCACGCCCUCCAAGGGAGGGACGUGAUUGGGCUGGGGCAGACGGGGUCGGGGAAGACGGGCGCGUUCGCGCUGCCCAUCAUCCAGGCGCUGCUCGAGCACCGCCAGCCCUUCUUCGCCUGCAUCAUGUCGCCCACGAGGGAGCUGGCGAUUCAGAUUGCGGAGCAGUUUGAGGCGUUAGGGUCAGCUAUCGGCUUGGUUUGCUCAGUGCUUGUUGGAGGAGUUGACCGGAUGCAGCAAGUGUUAUCCAUUGCAAAACGUCCACAUAUUGUGGUUGGAACUCCUGGCCGUCUUUUGGACCAUUUGAAAGAUACAAAAGGUUUUAGCCUAACUAAAGUGAAAUACCUGGUACUUGAUGAAGCUGAUAAAUUACUUAAUUUGGAGUUCAAGGAAUCACUUGAUGAUAUUCUGAAGGUCAUUCCUAAAGAAAGGAGAACUUACCUUUUUUCAGCCACAAUGACCAAAAAGGUAAGCAAACUGCAACGUGCUUGUCUCAGAAACCCUGUUAAGGUGGAAGUAUCCUCCAAAUAUUCUACAGUGGACACACUUAAACAAGAGUGGUAUUUCGUUCCUGCAGAUUACAAGGAUUGUUAUCUUGUUCAUGUUCUGAAUGAGUUGCCAGGGAGCAUGAUCAUGAUCUUCGUGCGGACCUGCGAGUCAACAAGACUCCUUGCUCUCACUUUAAGGAAUCUUGGUUUUAAAGCUCUCUCUAUCAGUGGCCAGAUGAGUCAGGACAAAAGACUAGGUGCUUUAAACAAGUUCAAAGCAAAAGAUUUCAACAUCCUUAUCUGCACCGACGUGGCGAGUCGUGGUCUUGACAUUCAAGGAGUUGAUGUGGUUAUGAAUUAUGAUAUUCCAAUGAAUUCUAAGGAUUAUGUCCAUCGGGUUGGUAGGACUGCGCGUGCAGGGCAAUCGGGAUAUGCCGUCUCUUUUGUGAAUCAGUAUGAGGCUGAGUGGUUUAAGCUGAUUGAGCAGCUCCUUGGAAGGGAAAUUCCUGACCGGAAGGUAGAUAUGGAUGAAAUCCUGAUACUUCGUGAGCAUAUAUCAGAUUCAAAGAGGAUUGCACUGACGAAACUGAGGGAGGACGGUGGUCACAAGAAGAGAAGGAAGGUGGCGGAGGACGACGAUGAUGAAGAAGAGGAGGCUCCAAGAGGCCACCGACAGAAACCGAGGUCUUUCAAGAAAUCAUCAAGGCGGUGA
rnacentral:rRNA from 1 species